GUCUCGAGGCACCGUCUGGCAAGGCGAGAGGCUCUGCUUGUAGCACAGUCGCUACCAUAGUCCCGAUGCCCUUUCUGGGUAGUGAUGCCAUCAUUGUCCCGAGGCACGUUCUGGCAAGG